rnacentral:rRNA from 1 species
UAGGGAAUAUUGGUCAAUGGUCGAAAGACUGAACCAGCCAUGCCGCGUGCAGGAAGACGGCCCUCUGGGUUGUAAACUGCUUUUGCCGGGGAAGAAGAAGAGGGAUGCGUCCUUCUGUGACGGUACCCGGUGAAUAAGCCACGGCUAACUACGUGCCAGCAGCCGCGGUAAUACGUAGGUGGCAAGCGUUGUCCGGAUUUAUUGGGUUUAAAGGGUGCGUAGGCGGGCUAUUAAGUCAGGGGUGAAAGACGGCUGCUCAACAGUCGCAGUGCCUUUGAUACUGGUAGUCUUGAGUGCAGACGAGGUCUGUGGAAUGGGUGGUGUAGCGGUGAAAUGCUUAGAUACCAUCCAGAACACCAAUUGCGAAGGCAGCAGACUAGGGUGCAACUGACGCUGAGGC